AGAUGUGAGGACAAUCUGGCUUCUACAUCUGUCAUCCCAUUGACCACCAAGGUUGAUUUGGAUGAUCUGGCUGGCUAGGUGGGUGUCCCUUCCUUCCUCACUGAUCCAUGUGGGUCCCUGUGUCCCUCCCAAGGCUGGGGCACUCAGUCAAAGAAGAAAACCAUCCCCAAUAGAGGAAGACAGUUCAAGGGUACACAAAAGUAGCUGUGUUCCUCUUCCAAAACAUCCAAACAAGCUCUUAAACCCCAGUCCCAUCAAAACAAAACAAAACAAACAAAAAAAAUGAUUAAAUGAAAGGUGGGGGUGAAUU
rnacentral:snRNA from 1 species